rnacentral:rRNA from 1 species
AUUGAACGCUGGCGGCAGGCCUAACACAUGCAAGUCGAACGAGCGGCGGACGGGUGAGUAAUGUCUGGGGAACUGCCCGAUAGAGGGGGAUAACUACUGGAAAAGGUGGCUAAUACCGCAUACUAUCGGAUGAACCACUAUGGGAUUAGCUAGUAGGUGGGGUAAAGGCUCACAUAGGCGACGAUCCCUAGCUGGUCUGAGAGGAUGAUCGGCGACACUGGGACCUAGACACGGCCCAGACUCCUACGGGAGGCAGCAGUGGGGAAUAUUGCACAAUGGGCGCAAGCAUGAUUCAGCCAUGCCGCGUGUAUGAAGAAGGCCUUAGGGUUGUAAAGUACUUUCAGCGGGGAGGCGUUACCCGCAGAAGAAGCACCGGCUAACUCCGUGCCAGCAGCCGCGGUAAUAC